ACUGACACUGAGGGACGAAAGCGUGGGGAUCAAACAGGAUUAGAUACCCUGGUAGUCCACGCUGUAAACGAUGAGUACUAGCUGUUGGAGUCGGUGUAAAGGCUCUAGUGGCGCAGCUAACGCGAUAAGUACUCCGCCUGGGGACUACGGCCGCAAGGCUAAAACUCAAAGGAAUUGACGGGGACCCGCACAAGCGGUGGAGCAUGUAGUUUAAUUCGAUGCAACGCGAAGAACCUUACCUGGUCUUGACAUCCUGCGAUCUUUCUAGAGAUAGAUUGGUGCCUUCGGGAACGCAGUGACAGGUGGUGCACGGCUGUCGUCAGCUCGUGUUGUGAA
rnacentral:rRNA from 1 species